ensembl:lncRNA
CUUUUCUUUUGCAGUUGAGUGCGGAUGUUUACUCUUCACAGACCUAUCCCUAAUGCUCACAAUGAGGGCACAAAGAGAAUCUUACCGGAAGCAUAUAAAUCACAGAAUCAUUAAGAUUGGAGAAUACCUCUGAGUCCAACUGUCAACCCACCCCCACCAUGCCCACUAAUCGUGUCCCUCAGUGGCACAUCUACACAGUCCUUGAACACCUCCAGGGAUCGUAACUCCACCACCUCCCUGAGCAGCCUAUGCCAAUGCAUUACACUCCACUGGAGAAGAAAUUUUCUUGGUAUCCAACCUGAAUCACUUUAUGCAAAAUGCGAAGAGUUACGACUCACCCGAGCAACUCUUCAUUACACUAAAAUCUUCAAACUGUGAUGGCCUAAACUAGUCCCUCAUCCUUUGUCACUUUGAUCCACUCAUCUCUAGAUUGUGGGCAUGCCAGGCUGCAGAUUGAUUUCCAGAUCCCCUCAUUCUGCAAGAAACUGCAAGAAACCUUGCUCAUUUUGCGGAGAGGUUUUUGCUUUUGGAAACUGUGGAGUAGAGCUUUGGAAGGGUCCAGCAGCCACUCUGGGCCAUGGGACAAGCACAAAAUUCUGAACCAUUCCAUAAUCUCUAUAACUGAUUGGACCAUGGGAGAGAUGUCUAGAUUUGGAAAUGUUUCAGGCCAGAUGCACAUAUCUCAUGAGAAAAAAUGUGGAUUAUAGCCAGCAUGUAAUAACUAUUCUAGUGCUGUUUCAUAGGAAUAAAAAGCAUUUUAAGACAGAGAUCUGCCUUCCCUCUCAGCUGCUGGAAGUGUGCCCUGCUCUGGGAGUCAGCGUGAGCAGCGGGAGCUCAAAGGCACAUUUGACAUUUUAUUUGAAUUUUGUGCAGUUAUCGGAUGCUUUUUCUUUGUUUUGGGCUUGUUUGGGCUUUUCUCAAGCUUUAGCCUUUCUGGGCACAGGCUUCUUCCUAUUGAUUUGCUUUUGCAGGCAGAAACAGAUGUGGAUGACUUUGAAAACUGGCAAAGGGACAGUGAAUUGGACUCUGCAACAGGAAUGGGAUGCAGAACAGUGCAACAGAGUGUCCUGCAGCAAAACGAGACGGACCUUCAUGCAGUGUCAGCUCCAGCACUGGGCUUGUAACCACACACCCCCUGGCAGUUCUCCAGGCAUGAUUAACUGCUGCAUUUACUCAUCUCUGUGGAUGAAAGAAGCCUACCCAUACAAACUGCAGACCACUACGAAGUGCUAUUUAGCUAUUAGAGGGUUUCCUGAGUCAAAAUGUACAGCAGCAGUUUUAACUUUUUAUCACAGGAUCUUCUACUUUGUUGAAAACUGAGCAACCAUACCAGCUGAGACCGGAGUCCCACCUCACUCCAUAUACUGUCUCAAACCUCUGGAAAUCACUAUGGAGAAAUGCAGACAAAGCUAUAUGCUUCAGGAUAGAAAGGUCAAGUUCAGCCCGUCCACUUUCCAGCCAGAAGCGGCGGCUGCUUGGGAACACAAAGUAUAGGAAAACAGAAACUGCAUCUCUAGCUGAUUCCAUUUUAAACAUCACCUGUAAAAUAAAACUCAAACCAAGGUAAGCAAAAUUGACAAAGAUGGCAGUUGGAAGAAGCAGUUGGAAGAAGCACCGCGUGCUCGGGGAGCUCCUGGCAACUCUCAGCACUGAGAGUUACAUUUGUAACUGGAAAAAAGUGAGACAAGUUUACUGCAUUCCAUUCAUAUGUAUUAUUUUUCCGUACUGAGAGCCCCCGUUAUUUUUUAAUAACAGCUAUAUAAAGUUUGUAACUACCAUUUCUUGUCCUCAGUUUCUAGCGGGGCUGCACAGAUCACUGCAUCCCAGCUGAGCUUAUUUCAGGGCUCUCUGUGCAUUCAGGUUCUGGCUGAAGGUAUCUUCUCAUCUCGAUUAGAGCACAAAGCCUGGUUUGUCCGAGAAAACGUGACAGUCCCACAGAAGAAAGCAGCCCCUUCCUGGCCGACGGAUGUACCCUGAUGGAAACCACCCGAGCCGGCAAACACCGGGAUGCCUCACCGCGAAGGGAGGAAGGCGGGGAUGCCGGGGCACGGCUGGCGCCCGGUUAACGCAGCUCCCAGCUCUGCAGCAGCCGCGCUCCGCCCUGGCUGCCGGGGCAGCCCGCGGGCAGCUCCCAUCGCGAGCGCGUAGGGCCGUUCGUGGAGCUCUGAGUCACGCGAACCAAGCGCUCCGCUGAUGCAGCUAUUAGGAUGCCUGAUAAAUAUUUAUAGCCCC